GCCAGGUGCGGUGGUGCACACCUAUAAUCCCAGCAGCUCAGGAGGCUGAGGUAGGAGGAUCGUGAGUUCAAAGCCAGCUUCAGCAAUUUAGCAAGGCCCUAAGUAACUUAUCGAGCCCCUGCCUCUG
rnacentral:sRNA from 1 species